rnacentral:tRNA from 1 species
CCUUUAGUAGUGUAGUGGUCAGCACGCUCGGCGUGUAUUCGAGAGGUCCGUGGUUCGAAUCCCGGCGAGGGCA